GUAGAGCAAUGGAUAACGCGUUGGACUUCUAAUCCAAAGGACAUGCGUUCGAAUCCCAUGAUUUCU